rnacentral:rRNA from 1 species
AUUGAACGCUGGCGGCAUGCUUUACACAUGCAAGUCGAACGGCAGCGGGGGCUUCGGCCUGCCGGCGAGUGGCGAACGGGUGAGUAAUGCAUCGGAACGUGCCCAUGUCGUGGGGGAUAACGUAGCGAAAGCUACGCUAAUACCGCAUACGUCCUGAGGGAGAAAGCGGGGGGAUCUUAGGACCUCGCGCGAUUGGAGCGGCCGAUGUCGGAUUAGCUAGUAGGUGGGGUAAAGGCCCACCUAGGCGACGAUCCGUAGCGGGUCUGAGAGGAUGAUCCGCCACACUGGGACUGAGACACGGCCCAGACUCCUACGGGAGGCAGCAGUGGGGAAUUUUGGACAAUGGGCGCAAGCCUGAUCCAGCCAUGCCGCGUGAGUGAAGAAGGCCUCGGUUGUAAG